GCUGAGGGCCGCAGUGUAGACCUGAGGUGCCCUUUAGCACUGCCUCUCCCUGGGAAAAUUCCUGUGGCGACCGCCGCCUGUCUGGGGGCAGCCAAGAAGACACGGCGCCAAUCUGGGGCGAAGACUUAUCUGCAGCCUACUUCGCCGGUGACCUUGGGCCUCUCCUCUAAACAAGGCUUCCCUGUCCAAAAUUCCUGGCCCCGGGGAUAAACGUGACCGCUUUCCCAGGUUUUCACCAGCAAGAACUUUUCUACCUGUUUCAGUCCUUGGGAGAGACACUGUCCAUUUACCAUGGUCUAGAUCGGUUCCUGCUAUGGCAGGCCGUACUUAAGAAGGUUCCUGCCAGGGAUGAAGAUUGCCUCGGAAUCAAGCUCACUUUUUGCUGUUACCUGGGACCUCCCUCAGCUAGAUUCAAGAUGUUGUGUGAAAUGAAAAUGUAUUUGAGUGGAAUGCAAGAUUGACAUCAUGAAUACUCAAUCUGCCAUUUACAAAGGAUAAUUUGUUCAACAUUAAAUAUAAAAAGCUCGGCCUGAUGGUUGCAUUAUAACCAGUGGGGUGCCUUGUCAACCAACUUUGCCCGGGAAACAGAUCCACUGCCCUCCCUGCUGUGUACCCUGAGAAACUGAUCUGUAAAGAAGGCCGGCUUCCUUUUGGGUUCAGUUCAAAGGAUCCUCAGCAGGUAGCAUUUGUUUAGAACGCUAUGCAUGAUUCAGACA